UAUAAUCACUGGCAUGACAGCAAAGUAGUGAAUAAGAAAGGCAUCGUAAAAGCAUUUGAUACUGAUCUUUCGUACUUUCAUUCCAUGAAGCACUCUGGAAGUGAUGGAGAAAAGUUCAUCAACUCGUAGAACAAGCUUGCUUUCGUGUUGGGGGUGUCUCAAAUUGAAGCUUCCUUGGACAAGGAGAACAAGCACUUACAAACCCGUUGGUGGUUUUGGGUAUGACCCUUUAAGCUAUGCUCAAAACUUCGAUGAGGGUUGCAUGGACGACGAGGAAGACGAACCUACUUCGCGUCGUAGAUUCUCUGAUAGAUUUGCUGCCCCCGUAUCAAGUUCAACUAAAACUCUCAAAUAAGGAUAAGGUUCAAGUUUUGAAGCUUACAAAGGACACAAAUUUGCUCCACUGUAUAAUCAAUUUAAUUUGCUGUGACUUUUGUAUCCAACAACUUCAAGAGAGAUUGGUUAUUCACUUAUUCCUUGGAAUAACUGGAAACUUUUGUUAGCUUACUAUUUAGCAUAUAUUUGCAAUGGUUAUUUGUAUUAUAUAUGUAGUGAAACUACAUAUAUAUAUAUAUAUAUAUAUUCCUUAGUUUAAUGUACGCUAUAUGUGAAAGUGGUUGGCUCUACGAGAUGAUCGAGGGGAUUUUCCUGUUCUAAACAGAAAACUACUACAGGAGUUUGAGAGAUAUUCAUUUUCAUUCCUUUUGAGCUUAUUGAUUUUCCUUUUUCUCAUAA